rnacentral:rRNA from 1 species
UGGGGAAUAUUGCACAAUGGGCGAAAGCCUGAUGCAGCAACGCCGCGUGAGCGAUGAAGGCCUUCGGGUCGUAAAGCUCUGUCCUCAAGGAAGAUAAUGACGGUACUUGAGGAGGAAGCCCCGGCUAACUACGUGCCAGCAGCCGCGGUAAUACGUAGGGGGCUAGCGUUAUCCGGAAUUACUGGGCGUAAAGGGUGCGUAGGUGGUUUUUUAAGUCAGAAGUGAAAGGCUACGGCUCAACCGUAGUAAGCUUUUGAAACUAGAGAACUUGAGUGCAGGAGAGGAGAGUAGAAUUCCUAGUGUAGCGGUGAGAUGCGUAGAUAUUAGGAGGAAUACCAGUAGCGAAGGCGGCUCUCUGGACUGUAACUGACACUGAGGCACGAAAGCGUGGGGAGCAAACAG